UACGUAGGGGGCAAGCGUUGUCCGGAUUUAUUGGGCGUAAAGAGCGCGUAGGCGGCCAGAUAAGUCCGGUGUGAAAGUCAAAGGCUCAACCUUUGAAUGCCGCUGGAAACUGUCUGGCUAGAGUCCGGGAGGGGCGAGUGGAAUUCCUGGUGUAGCGGUGAAAUGCGCAGAUAUCAGGAAGAACACCUAUGGCGAAGGCAGCUCUCUGGGACGGUACUGACGCUGAGACGCGAAAGCGUGGGGAGCGAACAGG
rnacentral:rRNA from 1 species